UACGUAGGGGCAAGCGUUGUCCGGAUUAUUGGGCGUAAAGAGCGUGUAGGCGGCCACACAGGUCUGCUGUGAAAACUCGAGGCUCAACCUCGAGCUGUCGGUGGAAACCGUGUGGCUAGAGUCCGGAAGAGGAGAGUGGAAUUCCCGGGUGUAGCGGUGAAAUGCGCAGAUAUCGGGAAGAACACCCGUGGCGAAGGCGGCUCUCUGGGACGGUACUGGACGCUGAGACGCGAAAGCGUGGGGAGCGAACAGGG
rnacentral:rRNA from 1 species